rnacentral:misc_RNA from 1 species
UCCUAGUUAACCUAGGCAGUCUCGCUAGAGUGCCCACCAUUACAUGUUGGCAACUAACGACAAGGGUUGCGCUCGUUGCGGGACUUAACCCAACACCUCACGGCACGAGCUGACGACAGCCAUGCAGCACCUGUGCAAAUGUCUCUUGCGAGAAUUACGUAUUUCUACGUCGGUCAUCUGCAUGUCAAGUCCAGGUAAGGUUCUUCGCGUUGCAUCGAAUUAAACCACAUGCUCCACUGCUUGUGCGGGUCCCCGUCAAUUCUUUUGAGUUUUACCCUUGCGAGCGUACUCCCCAGGCGGUAUACUUAACGCGUUCGCUACGGUACUGUCAGGGUUGAGCCUAACAACACCAAGUAUACAUAGUUUAGGGCAAGGACUAC